rnacentral:rRNA from 1 species
UACGAAGGGGGCUAGCGUUGCUCGGAAUGACUGGGCGUAAAGGGCGCGUAGGCGGCUUGCACCGUCAGAUGUGAAAUUCCUGGGCUUAACCUGGGGGCUGCAUUUGAUACGUGUGGGCUUGAGUGCGGAAGAGGGUCGUGGAAUUCCCAGUGUAGAGGUGAAAUUCGUAGAUAUUGGGAAGAACACCGGUGGCGAAGGCGGCAUCCUGGACCAACACUGACACUGAGGAGCGAAAGCCAGGGGAGCAAACGGG